rnacentral:rRNA from 1 species
UACGGAGGGUGCGAGCGUUGUCCGGAAUCACUGGGCGUAAAGGGCGCGUAGGCGGCUUUGUAAGUCGGGGGUGAAAGCCUGUGGCUCAACCACAGAAUUGCCUUCGAUACUGCGAGGCUUGAGACCGGAAGAGGUUAGUGGAACUGCGAGUGUAGAGGUGAAAUUCGUAGAUAUCCGCAAGAACACCAGUGGCGAAGGCGGCUGACUGGUCCGGAUCUGACGCUGAGGCGCGAAAGCGUGGGGAGCAAACAGG